UAGGGAAUCUUCGGCAAUGGACGAAAGUCUGACCGAGCAACGCCGCGUGAGUGAAGAAGGUUUUCGGAUCGUAAAACUCUGUUGUUAGAGAAGAACAAGGACGUUAGUAACUGAACGUCCCCUGACGGUAUCUAACCAGAAAGCCACGGCUAACUACGUGCCAGCAGCCGCGGUAAUACGUAGGUGGCAAGCGUUGUCCGGAUUUAUUGGGCGUAAAGCGAGCGCAGGCGGUUUCUUAAGUCUGAUGUGAAAGCCCCCGGCUCAACCGGGGAGGGUCAUUGGAAACUAGGAGAAUUGAGUGCAGAAGAGGAGAGUGGAAUUCCAUGUGUAGCGGUGAAAUGCGUAGAUAUAUGGAGGAACACCAGUGGCGAAGGCGGCUCUCUGGUCUGUGACUGACGCUGAGGCUCGAAAGCGUGGGGAGCAAACAGG
rnacentral:rRNA from 1 species